GUGUCAGCAGCCGCGGUAAUACAGAGAGUGCGAGCGUUAAUCGGAAUCACUGGGCGUAAAGCGCAUGUAGGUGGGUAUUUAAGUCGGAUGUGAAAUCCCUGGGCUUAACCUGGGAAUUGCAUUCGAUACUGGACAUCUAGAGUAUGGUAGAGGGAAGUGGAAUUUCCGGUGUAGCGGUGAAAUGCGUAGAUAUCGGAAAGAACAUCAGUGGCGAAGGCGGCUUCCUGGACCAAUACUGACACUAAAGUGCGAAAGCGUGGGUAGCAAACAGGAUUAGAUACCCUCGUAGUCC
rnacentral:rRNA from 1 species